rnacentral:rRNA from 1 species
GACAUACCUCUGGUGUACCAGUUGUUCUGCCAAGAGCACCGCUGGGUAGCUACGUAUGGAUUAGAUAAUCGCUGAAAGCAUCUAAGUGAGAAACUAACCUCGAGAUGAGAUUUCCCAUUCGUCAGAAGUAAGACCCCUGAGAGACGAUCAGGUAGAUAGGCUAGAAGUGGAAGUGUAGUGAUGCAUGGAGCGGACUAGUACUAAUAGGUCGAGGACUUAACCAAG